GCGAUAUUUAACGCAAGUAUAACUUUAUUGUGGCGCGUUUAAGCUUAUUUCGUAGUGCGAUAACAACAAUUUUUCACCUGCGAGAAGAACAUAUAGCAUGGAAAACGGAAUAACAGUAAAUAAAGCGGGAAUGCGCGGCGACAGCCAGAUUAGUCAUAGCAACCAAAUAACCGUUUUGCUGGAGCAAAUAGCAGCCGAAUAACGCUUUUCAGGCGGUGCAAGUGCGCGCACGCGCAACGCGAGAGCGGUCGAGCGAGCGUCAAGCGGGAAGGAUACGCCAGCCGGAGUAGGGGAGUUCAUUCAUAAAUGCUCGAGUGAAGGCGUCAAUGGAUGCGCCUGCAAACGAACGAGCGAGACAGCAUCCGCGUUUCCCUCGCCGCCGUCCAACCGUUCAUCGUCGGUCUUCUCUCUCUCUCUCUCUUUCUUCCCAGUGCAUUACUCUUUCUCUCUCUCUCUCUCUCUCUCUCUCUCUCAUCCUCUUAUUCUUUCUCUCGGUUCCACCACUAUCGUCGACUUUACGGUCUCCUUGUCGCGCAUAGAAUGCAACGUUCUACUCGUGAAGAUUUUACGUAGCAGGUUCCAGAGAACGCAUAACGCAUCAAGUUGGAGUUCAUCUGUAUUUACCGACACAUUUUUGGAUGAGUCAAAUACCUUAAAGUCCUCAGUAUACCUAUGUUGGUCGUUCACCCUACAGUUGGCUCAAACGUACACAAACUCGUCUCGUCAAAAACUUUACCGUGCACGAUAGCGCCGCGGAUCCGUAUGUAUUAUGCGCACACGCACACAUGACAGAUCAUAAUUACGCAUGUCGCUGCUCCGCUAUCGGAGGUGAUGGUACCGGCAUUCGCCGAAACGCAUCUCACGCCCCGUUGUAUUCCCUCGCGAUCGCAUCUGCGUGUGUAUGCGACCCCAUGCAACAUAAAUGUACACGCAAAACAAACGCGUACACACACACACACACACACACACAAACAACGGCGACUGCAGCGUAGGCGUGCUAAGGCGCGCGACCCCUCUCAUUCUUUCUUUCUUUCUUUCUUUCUUUCUUUCUUUCUCUUUAUCCCCGCUGCUCGUUUUUCUCCCUGGGCGCUCGGUGAUAAGUGCAUACCGCGAAAAACGAAACGCCGGAUGUGACGUCACCGUGCCCUGGCAUAUUUGCGUGCGCGACGACGGUAACGCGGCUCGCAGCUGCAACUGCGACUCCGGCGGCGCGAUGAAACGCCGUCCAUGAGAUUAGGCACGCAAAAAUCAUCGACAACGGACGAUCCUUUCAUCUGUCGUCGAAUUUUUUAUGCUCCAGUCGUCUGAUUAAACGUACGUAAUCUCUGUGAUGUAGCUCUAGCGUAGGUCGCGUGCAUAGAUAAAAGAUGAGUGUAAAUUAAUUUUCAUGUAGAUAGAAGAUGAACUCUUGAUGCCUCCUGUUUUAAUAUAUUAAUAAUAUUAUUUAAAGAUGGAAAUUGUACAUAUAAAUUGUUAAAAUUUUAAAUGAGGAAUCAAAAUUUAAGAGAAACAAUUUUUUUAUAGAUUUUAUGUGGAUAAAAGACG